CUGUUACUGUCCGUCCACACCAGAAGCGAAUUGAGCGACCAAAUCGCCGGAAGUCAUUCACUUUCUAUGGGCAAGAGCGACCAAAGCGACCAAAGCGACCAACGCUACCAGCGGCCAAAAUGGCAAGGACCAAUCCAGGUGUAACUGACCACGAGGGCUGCAGUCAAACUCCAAGGAAAACCAGAAUGGAUCCAUGCAAGCCGAUGCCGCCCAGCACCUCCAGAAGAGGAAAGCACCAACGCCUUGAGGGGAAAAACGGUCUGUCUAGUUACUGGACCAGAUAAAAUGAGACGGAGAGCCUCGAAUGGACCACCUCUACCGCAAUCUGCAUAAUACUCCUGAUGAGCCCAGCAGACCAAUGCAACGCAACCACCAGCAACAACGACCGACUCCCAACCAUAGCGGAUUCCCAGCUAACCACAUCAUCACACAACCAGUUUGCAAGCCUACUUGCUGCAGCUCAAACCCACUUCAACACCACCAAGAAUGGGCCCCUUACUCCAAUGAAGAGUUACCAAAUGGAAAAUGAGUGACCUAACAUGCUAGGCAUAAAUUUUACUAAUGUACAUAUUGAUCAUUUACUUUUACUUUUACUAAUUUCUUUGAAUUUGCAAUUUUACUAAUGUACAUAUUGAUUACUUUAUUAAUGAUUGAUUUUUACGAAUUUCUUUGAAUUUUAUUCCUAUUAUUCUGUGUUUUAACUUGUUUUACCCUCAUUUGUAAUCCUGUGACAUAAUAUAUCACCUGUAAUAAGUGUUGAUCUUAUGAUCAAAAAGGGAGGAACUGUCGUGGAAAUAUCAAUCAUAACUAUAAAUAUACAAUCACAUACAAAUUAUAUUAACCUGUUUAUAUAAUUAUUACAUUAGAAGGAACUGUAUACAUUCUCCCUGUAACUUAAAACAAAUCCCUUCCUCUCUUAAACUGAGAGAGGUUAAGUUAAUUUGUAUUCAAGUUCCCACUGGAGCCAGUAAGUCUGGUUUUGUGACCAGGCCAAUCGACUGACUUCUUUGUUGUGUAAACUCGUUUAGAGCCAAACCUGCAGACAUGUCCAAUACCCACCCAUUGUAUUACAAAUUUACUUGGCCUAAGGUCACUCCCACUCCCUUCCCACAAUGAAAAUGUUUCCUAUAAGAAUCUUGUGAAUCUAUUGUCUCGUCGAAUGUGUUCUCGGUAAACUUUGCUGCCAGUACUUUUCCCAUGAUCAUGCCUUAAGAUUAAAUCAAAUAUUUCGCUGUCCGACGUGUCCGUGAGAGAACUUUCUCUUCAUCAGAAAGCAAACAAUAAAAAUACGUAAAAUUUAAAAGAAAAUAAAU
ensembl:lncRNA